ACUUUGGGAUAACUUCAGGAAACUGGGGCUAAUACCGGAUAGGAGCUCCUGCUGCAUGGUGGGGGUUGGAAAGUUUCGGCGGUUGGGGAUGGACUCGCGGCUUAUCAGCUUGUUGGUGGGGUAGUGGCUUACCAAGGCUUUGACGGGUAGCCGGCCUGAGAGGGUGACCGGCCACAUUGGGACUGAGAUACGGCCCAGACUCCUACGGGAGGCAGCAGUGGGGAAUAUUGCACAAUGGGCGGAAGCCUGAUGCAGCAACGCCGCGUGCGGGAUGACGGCCUUCGGGUUGUAAACCGCUUUCGCCUGUGACGAAGCGUGAGUGACGGUAAUGGGUAAAGAAGCACCGGCUAACUACGUGCCAGCAGCCGCGGUGAUACGUAGGGUGCGAGCGUUGUCCGGAUUUAUUGGGCGUAAAGGGCUCGUAGGUGGUUGAUCGCGUCGGAAGUGUAAUCUUGGGGCUUAACCCUGAGCGUGCUUUCGAUACGGGUUGACUUGAGGAAGGUAGGGGAGAAUGGAAUUCCUGGUGGAGCGGUGGAAUGCGCAGAUAUCAGGAGGAACACCAGUGGCGAAGGCGGUUCUCUGGCCCUUCCUGACGCUGAGGAGCGAAAGCGUGGGGAGCGAACAGGCUUAGAUACCCUGGUAGUCCACGCUGUAAACGGUGGGUACUAGGUGUGGGGUCCAUUCCACGGGUUCCGUGCCGUAGCUAACGCUUUAAGU
rnacentral:rRNA from 1 species